rnacentral:tRNA from 1 species
GAGUAGCUCAGUUGGAUAGAGCGUCCGCCUCCUAAGCGGAAGGUCGUGGGUUCGACUCCCAUCUCG